CUGGCUCGGCCCGGGCGCACGCAGGUGGGGCGCAGGCCCAGACGGCAGCCGACUCUCCCGAGACACAGGGCCGAGAAGAGCCGUCGGCAAACGCACCAGACGGGCGGAAAAAAAGAGCAGGAUGAAGGGAAGAAGACAUAGCCAGCCAGAGAAGGGAGAAGAGGAGAAACAUCUGGAAAAUAUCAGUGUUGCAGAGCCUCCCGGAAACUGACCUCGCCACCGAAAGGGUGAAUGGGGUCAACAUGGAAACAGCAUGAGAGGGGCCACAGAAGGGAUUCACCAGGAAGAAGAAGAAAGGCGGGGCUGAGGUGGCCAGGACAGCACGACAUCACAUCUGACCAAGGCAUCCUCAGCCUUCCUUCAGAAAAGCAGCAGAAGGAAAAAGGCAUCAAACAUCACAGUGUGGAACUCAGGCUUGAAAGAAACCUUAAAUAUUGUCUAUUCUUUUUUUUUUUUGGAGAUGGAGUUUUGCUUUUGUUGCCUAGUCUAGAGUGCAGUGGUGCAAUCUCAGCUCACUGCAACCUCUGCCUCCCAGGUUCAAGCAAUUCUCCUGCCUCAAUCUCCCGAGUAGCUGAGAUUACAGGCAUGUGCCACCCUGCCUGGCUAAUUUUGUAUUUUUAGUAGAGAUGAAGUUUCACCAUGUUGGCCAGGCUGGUCUCGAACUCCUGACCUCAGGUGAUCCACCCACCUCAGCCUCCCAAAGUGCUGGGAUUACAAGUGUGAGACUCCGUGCCCAGCCAGAGGUUGUUUAAUCCUCCACCUGGCUGGUGAAGCAAUCUCCUAUCACAUCACCGGCAACAGACAUUCAUCCAGAAUUGCCUUGACAAACUUUAUUACCAGAGACAGCCUCCUUGAAAAAACAACUCCAUUUCCAUCCUAACCGUUAGAAAGUUCCUGUGUAUACUAAACUAAAAUUCAAGUCUAAGGGCAGUAAUUGUCAAAUUAUUUCCACUCUAACCACUGCCUUUACUCCUUACAGCAAGGAAAUAAUUUUGUGACGAGAUAAACAUAGGUUUUUAACUAAAUUUUAUUUUCAACAACCUAGUGGAGACCCCUCACAUUGCCUAGCUGAUGUAGCUGAAUUCAGUGUGAGACAGUUAUGCAACUUUCCAGUGCUUGCCACACAUCUGCUACUGAUUAUCGUGAGCAUUCAGAAGCAAGCAGCUCUGCUCAAGACACCCAGUGAUAAUCUUUCUCCUCAGUGUGCUCACUCCAAGGGGGCAGAAAACAAUGCCAAGACAGGUUGAGUAACGGGCCCUACUUGACUGUAUUUGAGCAGUUAAGAGCUUUAUUCAAGUUUCUGAACAAAAUUUGAAAUGUGAAAUGCACAAAGCAGACAAAUGUAGUACUCCAUUUGUGGAAUCUGUACCACAGACUCCUGGUCUGAGAUCUAUUUGAAAGUCUAACCCACUUCUAGUUGCCAUAAUUUGAUUUUGGCCUUGAGUUUCUGACAUGGGUAGAAUCUAUUAACAAUUGUGCCAACUGAUGACUGCUUAGGAGACAGAAAAGGCUGACAUAGGCUUGCAGUUGAGAGUAGCCAAGGCUGACACUCAACAGAAAAACUCAGCAGGUGGUGAAAAUGUGAAAUGAAGCAGAACUUAUCCAAACAGGGCUUCAGGGAAAAUGGGAGGUUAUUUUUGCAGGUAGCAGUGAAAGGCAUGCAUCAGAAGUUUUUCCUCUUGAAUAGGUCAGGUUACAAAAGUUAAGUUACUCAGCCUCUCCUUAAAGAGCUGCAGAAAUAUGUACUAGUUAUGAUUCACAAAGUUGUAGGCAUCAUGAAAAUGAAUGCAUUUUCUGAGAAACUGCUCACCUGAACAAUGUGCUAGCCUACCUAAAAAAGAUGAUAUUAAGUCCAUAAAUUUCCUAGUACAAACAGGAGAUCUAAAAUUCACCAACCUUUUCAAUCUGAAGUCUGUUUCAACAGAUAUUUUACUACUGAACUCAGCAAAGCCCCAUCAUAUGCCGUUUAAUUUUCUCAAUUUCAAUGAUAUAUAAUCAGCCCAUAUCAGAUAGAAAGAAAUGAUCUAAAUGGGUACAUUGGCUACCAUUCCCCCCAAUGAUUUUAUGCUGCAGAGUAAGCAUGAGAAGGAGCUGGGAAUUUGCUGUUCCCUCUCUCCCUCUAGUCUCUGCAUGGACUUUUACACUGUGAGCAUCUCACACACUGAUAAUGAAUGUUGUGUUUAAGGCAAUGUAUUGUUUCAUAGCAAAAUGCCUCAAAGACAAUCUAACUCUAGUAACUGGUCUUAAAGAAAUAACAACCUGUUUCAAUGCUAAGGAAACAGUGGGAGUAAGUCUUAUACUUAAUAGGAGAUGGUAUAUCAGUCUCCAACCUGGUAACUUCCUAAGAGGAUUUUUAAAAUAAUACUGACCCAUACAAUUUUCACUUUACACAUUACUCGUAGUCUUAACCAAACUGGCAUCUUAUAAUCUCAUAUGUUACAGUGAUGUGGUCAAGAGUUGCUGAAAAAGACAUGAUUUUAGUUCUGAGGUCCCCAAAUUAUGUGCCAGUGUACCUCAGGGCACUACAGCAAACUCACAGAGGUGUGCAGGAUAUUUUGUCUUUGAGGGAAACAAAGCAAUACACAACAUUUCUCAGAUGCUUGCAUGAAUGACUAUUUCAAGCAAAUUCACAGUUUAACAUAUUGUGUUAUUUUCCUUUUGAUGAUGUCAUUUCUUUGCAAAGCUAGGUUGUUGGUGGUUGCUGUGAUAAAAGGCAAGUAUUAGUUGAAAAGUGAUGUGGAACAAGAAAUUAGGGUAUUGGGAUUCAACCCAAUUUCUAAGUUUGAGGAACUGUAACAAGUUUACUGCCUCACAGCUCGAAAUUCACCCUUCAUUACCCACUAUGUGAAGACAUAGAAGGGACCUUUACAUAUUUUUUCUUUUGUUAGCUGGUACCAUUCUAAGCUUCAUCAGUGGAGAGUACUGUAGAGAUAUUACAGAAAGAAGCAGUUUUCCUUCCUGGUUCCGGUACAGUCUUUCUGCAGGCUGCUGCAAACACGCAUGGCUCCUAGAGUACCCACACCUUCUUCAGCAACUGGCUCCUGCUGAACAUGAUGGUCAGCACCUCCCAGCCUCCAGCAGCUUCCACUGGCAUCCCUCUCGGUUGAUUUUGCAGCAGAAUGCAUCCAGUGAAAGACCUCCACAUGAAUAGCUUUCCUCAGCAUCUUAGAGGGUAGAUUUCUAGCAAGUUCUGCCAGCAUAGCACCCCAGUGACUUCUCUGCCAGCCCGGGAGCCACAGCAGGCCAUGACCUCUCCAGCAAGGUCUGGAGCCAAGAGAAGCAUGUGUUUGGGUGCUCUAUCAGACCCACGGCCCACAGGUAGGGGCUGCUCCUUAUAUCUGCUAUUCCUCUGUUAUUUAAAGUUCUCUUUACUUCCUACUAGCUAGUCCCCAUUAUAGUGAACUAUUUCUCUUUUUCUUAACAGUUUUCUUUUGUAUUUUUUAAAAAUUGUGGUAAAAUACAAAUAGUAUCAAAUUUACCAUCUUAAUAAUUUUAAUUGUACAGUUCAGGAGCAUUAAGUACAUUCACAUUGUUGUACAAUCAUCACCACUAUCCAUCUCUAGAACUUUUUUCAUCUUGCAAAACUGAAACUCUGUACCCACUGAAGACUAAUUUGCCAUUCUCUGCUCCUGUCAGCCCCUGGCAACCACCAUUCUACUUUUUGUCUCUAUAAAUUUGACUACUCCAGGUAACUUACAUUCAGUGGAAUUAAAGAGUAUUUGUCUUUUUGUGAUGGCUUAUCUCACUUAACAUAACAUCCUCAAGAUUCAUCCAUAUGGUAGCAGGUCAGACUUUCCUUCCUUUUUAAGGCUGGGUGAUACUCCAUUGUAUGUGUAUAUCACAUGUUGUUUAUACAUUCUUCUGUAGAUGGAUACCUGGAUUGCUACCACCUUUUGGGUAUUGGUUUACAAAUAUCUCUUUGAGAUGCCUUUUCAAUUCUUUUGAGUAUAUACCCAGAAGUAAAAUUGCUAAAUCAUAUGGUAAUUCUAUUUUUCAUUUUUUGAGGAACUGUCAUAUUGUUUUCCUAGCUAAUACUUCUUUAUUUUAAACUUUCCUUUAAAUUACUGUGUACUUUAUAUUCUCAUUAGACCCUGACCAAUAUAUGCAGUGCCCAACAGGUACAUACAUUCCAUUAAGAAAUGAAGAGUAACAUAAAAACAUUAUUUUUAAAUAUUUCAAUAUAUAUGUAUUAUUUUUUACAACUACAAAGUUAUUAAUACAGAAAUACUAAGUUGUUUGGAACUAAGUACUUAAUAAAUGAAACUGCUAAGUAUUUAUUUUGUCCUAGAAAUGGCAUGAAAAAAAUUACUGAGACCACUAAAUUACUGAGACCACUAAGGGUACAUGAGCCAAGAACAUUUGGAAGGCUCUGCUCUAGCCUAUAUGUUUCCAGCUGCCAUUAGGACCUGUCUGCUUGAAUGGUUCCUUAGGCUCGCCUUCUCUAGGGGUAUCCCUGAAGGCACAGAUGCAGCCUUAAUAUUAACCGUACUUAAUAUUAUAUUUCUUUAUAAUAAUAAGUUUUUCUCACUUAGGCACUGGGGGAUACAAACCUUACAAUUAUCUUUGACUUAUGCUGCUCUGUCUCCCCUUAUUUCUAAUCUCAUAUCAAAAUGUUUCCUGGAUUGGCCUUUUUUUCUCUCCAUUCCUGCAGCAGUCAGUAAAGCCAUCAUCUCUAGUUAGCACUGCCUAACAGAUUUUAAGCUAGUUUCCCUUAAACAAGACCAUGGGUUGAAAAUUCAAAUGCUCACUGAGGCUGGAAAUAUGUUAAUUCAUACCUGCCACACAAGAAUUGGCUGCCUCAGUCCUUGCACCGAUGAAGGCAACACCAAUAGGACAGGCUGUGGGUGAGGCCCCAUUCCCAGGAUGCCAGCUAUUACAGUGUGGAUGUCUGUCCCUUCCAAGCCUCAUGUUGAAAUGUGAUGGAGGUGGGGCCUGAUAGGAGGUGUUUGGGUCAUGGGGGUGGAUCCUUAACGAAUGGCUUGGUGCCCUCCGCAUGGUAAUGAGUGAGUUCUUGCUCUAUUAGUUCAUGCGAGAGCUGGUUCUUUAAAAGAGCCUGGUACCUCCUCCCCUCUCUCUUGCUCCCUCUCUGUGUGACACAUCUGCUCCUUCUUCACCUCUGCCAUGAGGAAAAACUUCCUGAGGCCUCAACAGAAACUGAGCAGAUGCUGGUGCCAUGCUUGCAUAGCCUGCAGAAUCAAGAGCCAAAUAAACCUCUUUUCUUUAUAAAUUACCCAGGUUCUUCUUUUUGGCAAUACAAAACAGACUAAUACACCAGCUGAAAUACCAACUUCUCUCUCUCAAAGAAAGCAAUGGCAAUGCAAGUGAGUGUGAAUGAUGCUACUUGAGGCAAAAUCAUGAAUGUGCGCCCACACACACGUAGAUAUGAGUGGUUUGAAAAGGAAUCAUUCAGAAAUUUUUGACACUUGUUUUCAUUAACUGGAAAUUACUUGAGACAAACCUUAUGAUGAAUCAUGACACCCUGUGUGGCCACACAGCGGGGGCAGCUGCUGCUGGUCUAUUUUUUCAGCUGUUAUAUCCUCUUUUUACCCUACCCAAAGCCAUACUCAGGUCCCAACUCCUCUUAAAAGCCCACAGUGGACCUAUGCUUCUACAGUGAACUUGUGCUAUACUUAAAGUUGAUAAUCUUGAUGUUAGUUGUCUUCUGAGGCAGCUCCAUAAGCUAUUUAAAACACAAGAUUAUACCUUGCAUUUGUUUGUUCUCCUUUCUAGAGCAUACAAUGCAUGUUGGACACUUUCAAAGCACUAUAUAACUAAUAAAAUAAUCAUUUAAUAAUUUCAUAAUACUGAAUUAUGAUAGCAUAUAAGAAUAAUCUUAAUUUCCUCUUCCCCAAAAAGUACCUUACAAGAAACUAUGUACAUAAAUAUCUGCUAUCUUCAAAGAAAGAAAACAAGACAAGAAAAUUUGCAUGGCAUCUGCAGAACCAAGGUUAGUAAUUUUCGACAAUCUAUAAAACUAUCAAGUUUACAAAAGUUCCGUCAGAAAAGGAGCCAAGAAAAAAAUAAAUCUGACAGCUGCAAACCUUCUGUUUUACAACACGCACAGAAUGGACGCACUUCCUUCGACAUCCUUAUAAACAGAGUGCUGAGCAAAUGCAAACAUCCCGGGUAGAAGUCCAGUGGACUCCAGACUUAAUUAAUGGAUUAUGCUUAUCUUUACAGAGGCAACCUUACUAGCCACCUAUCAACCCCACCACAAUUGCUUUAGGAACUAUUAAUAAGAUGGAUUGAACAAAAUUCCAUUUCAGUUGAUGGCAUUUCCAGGGCAAGCAAGACACCAGCAGCGGCUGCCCACUGUAAAAGAGCAGCAAUCUCACCAUCCUCAGAUUGGAAACCUUGUUUCCUUUAAGUUAAGAACUAACAUCCGGCACUGGACCACCUGAAUAUUUAGACUAAUAAAUCCCAGAUGGGAAUUCCAGACACCUCUUUACUAAAGACAUGCAGGCGAUAAACAUUCUAUUAAGCAAGUCUCCUAGGAGUGAGCUUCCCUUCAGAGACUGUUUUCAUUUACAACAUACUGUGUUUUCUAAAGCCAAUUUGGGAUCCCUCAUUGCACAAUGUGUAAUUAAUUUUGUCAUCUGUUAUUUAAUGGAUGAAAUUAAUCUGUGAAUGUAAAAAGGUAGCACCUUAAUUGUCCCUAAUAUCUUGUUAUUAGAUCAGAGAAAGACAAAAGUAUACUAUUUGGCCACAGCCCCAAAUUCUGAAUCAGCCAUCCAGUAUAGAACCAAACAAUGUAUGCGCUUAUAUUAAGCUAUAUCUUAAUAUCCUAGAAAUAAUAAGCAUAAUUUAUCAAGCACCUAUUAUGUGCUAAGUACAAUCGUAGGCACAUAAUAGAACAUACCUCUACUCUUACUACGUAUCAGCAUAGCGGUGUUUUCUAGCUCAUGAAGUGCUGCUGCAUACGUUGCCACUAACCCUCAUAACAAUCCUAAAAGGAAGGUAUCUUGGGAAUUACUAACUCUGCUCCUGAUAAGGAUACAGAUCCUCAGAGAAAUCAAGUGGCUGGCCCACAGUAACCUAGCUAGGAUUGAGUGUUAGCUGAGAGUAACUGUGGGUCUUCUGACCUCACUCCAC